UACGUAGGCUCCGAGCGUUAUCCGGAUUUAUUGGGCGUAAAGGGUGUGUAGGGGGUUUUGUGCGUCUCCCGUCAAAAUUAGCUGCUUAACGGCUAACUCGCGGGGGAUACGGCAAAGCUAGAGGGUGCGAGAGGUCUGUGGAACACAAGGUGUAGGGGUGAAAUCCGUUGAUAUCUUGUGGAACACCAAAGGCGAAGGCAGCAGACUGGCGCAUUUCUGACCCUGAAACACGAAAGCGUGGGGAGCAAAAAGG
rnacentral:rRNA from 1 species